CGUUGUCACUCCUACGGGAGGCAGCAGUGGGGAAUAUUGCACAAGUGGGGGAAACCCUGAUGCAGCCAUGCCGCGUGUGUGAAGAAGGCCUUCGGGUUGUAAAGCACUUUCAGUAGGGAGGAAGGUAGUGUAGUUAACACCUGCAUUAUUUGACGUUACCUACAGAAGAAGCACCGGCUAACUCCGUGCCAGCAGCCGCGGUAAUACGGAGGGUGCGAGCGUUAAUCGGAAUUACUGGGCGUAAAGCGCAUGCAGGCGGCCUGUUAAGUCAGAUGUAGAAAGGCCCGGGGCUUAACCUCGGAAUUGCAUUUGAAACUGGUAGGCUAGAGUCUUGUAGAGGGGGUAGAAUUUCAGGUGUAGCGGUGAAAAUGCGUAGAGAUCUGAAGGAAUACCAGUGGCGAAGGCGGCCCCCUGGACAAAGACUGACGCUCAGAUGCGAAAGCGUGGGGAGCAAACAGGAUUAGAUACCCUGGUAG
rnacentral:rRNA from 1 species